ensembl:lncRNA
CUUCUUCCCCCAAGCAGGGCCAUUCUGUUACAAACAGCCAAGACAUAGCUCUAUGGUCUAUGUCUCAUAGACCCUCCCACAGCCAGCUCUGUCACUCUGCUCCAUACACCAAAGGCGCUGUGUAGGAAGAGAGGUCUCUCCCAUGACUGCAGGGUCUGCCUGGGCAGGCUGCUGCAAACAUGAGGCAAAAGAAAUUUGGCAUCCCGCAGUGUGUCUGCUGGAGGGCUGAAGAUACCUCCGUGAAGAUGGGAACCUGCUCCCUCACAAACAGCUUACAAGGAGUAUGUAUUUUCCCUGGGGUGCUGCAGACCAGAGGUGGAAACCUGCAGCUAAGCACAAAGAGAGAAAUGGCAAGAAAUCACUUCACCGCUGCAAGCUUCCGAGCUCUUCUUUCUUAAGUAGGCGAAAAAGGAAACUUCUAAACUGCCUGUCACAUCCUCUCACUGGUAACAACCAUCACCUGGAAAGGGGACAGCGCUGAGCUCAUCUCUGGAAUGAAACAAUAGAGGAAAAGCACUGCGGAAUGCGCUCGUUCAACACCGCCGCUGAGCAGGAGACGGAUUUUAUGUAUCAAAGGAAAUUCUGCUAUUUUUAAACUGUUUUUCCAUGAAUUGGAGUCCUCUUACUGUAAUUUAGGUCUGUUUGCUGAGUUAUGGUGAUCUUGGGACUAUGGAACCCAGCCCUAAAAGUUACCUCGGUAUGCAAGCAAAGGAAAGGCACUGAACAUUAAAUAAAGACAGAACCCCAGAGGUAGGAUGGGGGAUAUUCCUUUUUUUUUUUUUUUUUUCCCCUGUAAGCAGAUGAAUGACAGCCUGCCCUGUGGCGUGUUGUGGAUUUGCUGUUAGGAAAUCCAGACUCACCCCUUAUCUGUGUUCUCUAUCCUUUAGCAAGUCACAGGAAUAGAUGACACAGUCUCAUUUAGAGUAGGUGAAUAAUUGAGAAGUGCUGCCUCAGGGAGCUCUAAGAAAGAAGGGGACAAACUCUUUAGCAGAGUCUGUUGUGAUAGGAGAAGCAGAAACAGUUUCAAACUAAAAGAGGGGAGAUUUUGACUGGAUAUAAAGAAGUUAUUCCACAAUAAAGGUGGUGAGGCACUGGCACAGGUUGCACAGAGAGGUGGUGGUGCCCCAAGGUGACACUCAAGGUCAGGCUGGACCAGGCUCUGAGCACCUGAUGGAGCUGUAAGUGUCCCUGCUCAUUGCACAGGGGUUACAGUGAUGGCCUUCAGGGGUCCCUCCCAGCUCAAACAAUUCUAUGACUCCAUAAGGGUAAUGGGGGGCAGUAGCUCUGGCAUUUUGUGCAACAAGUACCUGAACUUAAGCAUGGAAAUGCAAGAGGUCUCAGUUUCUGGGUCGGGAAAGAAGGGCCAUGAGGAAAAUGGGUGUAUUCAGUCUACUAAGAAAGUAAUGUCCUAGAGGUAAGAAGAAGGGAGAGGGUGAAGGAAAGCAACACACAGUGUCAAGCAUCACCUCAUGUACCUUACUGUUGCAGCUCUCCAACAGGAGAAUGAGCUUUUACAGAUGUAGCUCUGCAGUGCUUGUUUUGUGCCCAAAACAGGUGUGCAUUUAUAUAGACAGUACGCUGAUUAGCAGCAGAGGGCUGGAGACAUGGCAAAAGCUUGGUAUGAGGGUACCAUCAGCUGGUUCUAAGCCACAGAAUCACUUAAUGACUUAAGUUAGAAGGGACCUCAAAGAACAUCUAGUUCCAACCUCCUGCUGUAGCAGGGCUGCCAAUCAGUAAAUCAGGUACCAGAUCAGGCUGCCCAUGGCCAGGUUUAAGGCAUCUAACCUAGCCUUAAACACCUCCAGGGCUGGAGCAUCCACAACCUAUCUGGGCAAAUAAUAUCAUAAACUCCCUGUAUUUUACCCUUUGGAUCUAGGUUAUGUCCCAGGGCUCACAGCUGUGAUAGGUGCCCCACCACACUACACAUCAUUAAAUUAAAAGGAGCACCUGGCUUAGGUUCCAGCUGGAACAGGGCUUUGUUUUGGUUUGGUUUGUUUUUUUUCCUUCUUCUUUUCUGACAGGAAAGUUUCAAGGUAGAGAAGUGUGAAAACUUUUGAACACCUUAGGACAUAGGAAGAAUUUCUUAAGCUGCUGUUUAGCUAGUAGGCAUAAAUGCUACCCCAGUGCUUGUAUUUCUUAAGAUAUGUCUCACAAGCCUCUGUUAAG